rnacentral:rRNA from 1 species
CCUACGGGAGACAGCAGUGGGGGAUAUUGCACAAUGGGGGAAACCCUGAUGCAACGACGCCGCGUGGGCGAAGAAGUAUUUCGGUAUGUAAAGUCCUAUCAGCAGGGAAGAAGAAAUGACGGUACCUGAGUAAGAAGCACCGGCUAAAUACGUGCCAGCAGCCGCGGUAAUACGUAUGGUGCAAGCGUUAUCCGGAUUUACUGGGUGUAAAGGGAGCGCAGGCGGCACGGCAAGCCUGAUGUGAAAGCCCGCGGCCCAACCGCGGGACUGCAUUGGGUACUACCGGGCUGGAGUGCCGGAGAGGUAGGCGGAAUUCGUAGUGUAGCGGUGAAAUGCGUAGAUAUUAGGAGGAACACCAGUGGCGAAGGCAGCCUACUGGACGGUGACUGACGCUGAGGCUCGAAAGCGUGGGGAGCAAACAGGAUUAGAUACCCGUGUAGUC